ensembl:lncRNA
GACAUGGAAUUUUUACUAGAAUUAAAUAUCAGGAAUUGUGAAAAACUGAGUUUAAAUGUACACUGCUCAAAAACACUUAAACAACACAAUGUAACUCCAAGUCAAUCACACUUCUGUGAAAUCAAACUGUCCACUUAGGAAGCAACACUGAUUGACAAUAAAUUUCACAUGCUGUUGUGCAAAUGGAAUAGACAACAGGUGUAAAUUAUAGCAAGACACCCCCAAUAAAGGAGUGGUUCUGCAGAUGGGGACCACAGACCACUUCUCAGUUCCUAUGCUUCCUGGCUGAUGUUUUGGUCACUUUUGAUUGCUGGCAGUGCUUUCACUCUGAGACACAACCUGGAUGAAAAUAUAUACUAAAAAUAACCUAAAUAUUACAUUAUUAUAUCCAAAAUAUACCAUAAAAUUGUAUACUAUUACCAAGUUACAGCUUUUUUUGAACAAACACAUUUGCGCAAGCAUCCUUACUUGGGUGGAUGCCAACCAAUGUCUAAAUAGCAUAGGAAGUUCAAAGAUACAAGUCUGUGACAUCCUUCAUUGCGUGCAUGUUGAGAAGUACAACAAACCCAUGUUAGGAUUGGAUUAACUGACCCAUUCAAUGAUGCUUCCUGUGCCUCUCAAACUGAAGUGGACCUCAAAGAGAGGAAGGCCAUGGCAAUCUUCACCUGUUCCAUGGUUGUGGAACAGGCACUGAUCCACAGGUAGCACAAGACAGUUUGUCAGAUGUAUUAAACUGACUUCAUAAGUGACAUGAUGUCAUCCUCGCAAAUCAGUUGAUGUGGGUCAGGUGUGUCUGUGGAUGGAGGAGCAUCUGUGGAUGGAGGUGUGUCUGCAGAUGGAGGUGUGUCUGUGGAUGGAGGUGCGUCUGGAUGGAGGAGCGACUGUGGAUGGAGGAGCGUCUGUGGGUGGAGGAGCGUCUGUGGAUGGAGGUGCGUCUGUGGAUGGAGGUGCGUCUGUGGAUGGAGGUGCAUCUGUGGAUGGAGGAGCGUCUGUGGAUGGAGGAGUGUCUGUGGAUGGAGGAGCGUAUGUGGAUGGUGGAGCGUCUGUGGAUGGAGGAGCGUCUGUGGGUGGAGGAGCGUCGUGGAUGGAGGUGCGUCUGUGGAUGGAGGUGCGUCUGUGGAUGGAGGAGCGUCUGUGGAUGGAGGAGCGUCUGGAUGGAAGAGCGUCUGUGGAUGGAGCAGCGUCUGUGGAUGGAGGUGCGUCUGUGGAUGGAGGAGCGUCUGUGGAUGGAGGAGCGACUGUGGAUGGAGGAGCGUCUGUGGAUGGAGGAGCGUAUGUGGGUGGAGGAGCGUCUGUGGAUGGAGGAGCGUCUGUGGGUGGAGUAGCGUCUGUAGAUGGAGGAGCGUCUGUGGAUGGAGGAGCGUCUGUGGAUGGAGGAGCGUCUGUGGAUGGAGGAGCGUCUGUGGAUGGAGGAGCGUAUGUGGGUGGAGGAGCAUCUGUGGAUGGAGGAGCGUCUAUGGGUGGAGCAGCGUCUGUAGGUGGAGGCACGUCUGUGGAUGGAGGAGCGUCUGUGGAUGGAGGAGCGUCUGUGGAUGGAGGAGCGUCUGUGGAUGGAGGAGCGUCUGUGGAUGGAGGAGCGUCUGUGGAUGGAGGAGCGUCUGUGGAUGGAGGAGCGUCUGCGGGUGGAGGUGUGUCUGUGGAUGGAGGAGUGUCUGUGGAUGGAGGAGUGUCUGUGGAUGGAGAGAUCCAC